AAGUCGUAACAAGGUUUCCGUAGGUGAACCUGCGGAAGGAUCAUUACAAAUCCAAUUGAAAUUACCCGUUGCAAUGUUGGACGUGAGAGGAAGGGGAUGUGUAUUCAUUCCUUUUCUCUCCUCCAGAUUCUAUAUGACGCUUGUUGUUCAGUUGUAUUAAAAUUUAAUAUCAAUCACAACUUAUAACAAUGGAUCUCUAGGCUCUU
rnacentral:misc_RNA from 1 species